GCUGAUAGGCUCGCCCCGUGGAAAGAGGCGGGAUCUUUGGGGCCCUAACAGUGCCAGUUCUAAAACUAAACAACUGUCUCCUUCAGCUCCUGCUGUUCAGAGAGGUCUCUUCUCGCACUGCCCGAGCAACCAAGAUUUGAAUUUGACCGUGGUUAAAUGACCCAUUUGGACCAGGCCAGCCAGGCAGGAUGGGAGAGCGCCAUGGGGGUUCUGAAAGCCCCUCAGAGGACGGUGUGAUUAGCACUUUAGAGAUUAGAAAACGGUGAGAAGUUGUUACGUGCCCAAGGUCACACAAUUAAGGAAUGCCAGUUCUCUUCCUGCCACCUUGGAAUAUGCACUGUUUGGGAAGUUCCACCUUCAUGGAGUUGAACUCAUCCUCUAAAUUGGAGAAGGGAAACUCAAAAGAAGGGUUGAGUUUUGCAAAAACCCCCCACUGAAGAAAAAGAGCCUGAUUGUAACGGUCUAGUCUGCAUCCAGUUACUAUCUGAGCAAAAGUCAGAGGCCAGAAUUAACAGCUGAAUUCUGUACCCUGGUUAACUUCUCUGGAGCAAGUCAUUUUUGUCCCUUCUUUGUUUGCCCAGUGAUUUGCAGUAGGAUCUUGGGAAAUAAAAUUAAUGUACUUGUA